UAAGCGGAGGAAAAGAAACCAACAGGGAUUGCCUCAGUAACGGCGAGUGAAGCGGCAAAAGCUCAAAUUUUAAAGCUGGCAUCUUCGGUGUCCGCGUUGUAAUUUUGUGAGGCAUCUCCGGGUAGGGCGCCGGCCUAAGUUCCUUGGAACAGGACGUCAUAGAGGGUGAGAAUCCCGUGCUUGGCUGGCUGUCCCCGUCCAUGUGAGGUGUCUUCGACGAGUCGAGUUGUUUGGGAAUGCAGCUCAAAAUGGGUGGUAAAUUUCAUCUAAAGCUAAAUAUUGGUGGGAGACCGAUAGCGCACAAGUAGAGUGAUCGAAAGAUGAAAAGCACUUUGAAAAUAGAGUUAAAAAGUACGUGAAAUUGUUGAAAGGGAAGCGCUUGAGACCAGACUUCGGUAGGGAGUGAUCAGCUGUCCUUCUGGGCGGUGCACUUGCUCCCCUCCGGGCCAGCAUCGGUUGGGACGGCGGGAUAAAGGUCCCGGGAAUGUGGCUCCUUUCGGGGAGUGUUAUAGCCCGGGUGAAUGCCGCCAGCCCCGACCGAGGACCGCGCCUUCGGGCUAGGAUGCUUGGCAUAAUGGUCUUCAGCGACCCGUCUUGA
rnacentral:rRNA from 1 species